UCCUCCAUCCCCUGGCGUUUUGCAGUGUGAAGCUCACGCCGGUACAGACCUUCCUGGGGUCACAUUGAGAGGCGGGGAUACAGCCCCGAUGCUGCAAGCCUCUGAGAAUGUGCAGAUGGUUUGAAGACUGUGCCGAGAAGAUGCACCUCUCCUAAGUCCUGCUCGCGCCCGAAGUGGCACAAGCGCCUGUGCGCGGGGUGGGGUGUCGGGGCCUCCUGGGGGAACUGCUCCCACCUGGGUCCUGGGCGGGCUGGGCCCGGACGCCCCUUUCCCUGGCCCCACCUGUGCCCUGGAGCGUAGCUGGGCCCCGCUGGCGCUUUCUGGAGAACCGAGGAAUACCCCAGGUGGAGGAGCGGGGGAGAAGCGGGCAUUGGGAUCAGCGUUCGUUUUAAAUGGAAAAAAAAAAAAGAAAAAGAAAAAAUCCUGGGGAGAUUCCCGCAGGAAUCUUUCUCCCGCCCUGGAGAAAGAAUUAGUAGUAGGUUUGCGCGCGUCAAGGGGUUGGAUGAGCUACUUUCCCAGUGUACCUAAAUAGAGGAGCCUCUUCCCUCCCCCUAACUGGACAAAGUCUGAAGUGAUCUGUGCCUUAUCGAGCGCGGAGACGUGACAUUAACUUGAUCCCCCCCAAAUCGGCAUCAGAAGGAAUCUCUACGAAGCUGCAUCACAAAAUGUGCUUUCUGCCCACUUGAGUGUUUAACAAGGGGAGUUCAUUUUCUGGUACAGGGGUUCUGAAGAGGAGAUGAGGCAGUUUUCUCAUUUUGGCAAUGGAGGAACGUUCGCCAUGUUUGGAUUUGCUUCACUUUUCCAACACAGACUUGGCCAAGCUAAUGGCCUGGAUUUGCUAGUGGAACUAGGUUUUUCCCAAAAGAGGUGACAGAAUAACUGACAAGAAUCUGCUGGGCUGUGGAAUCCAGUCCUGAGCUCCCUAGGGAAAUAGCAAACUCAUCUAUAACCAGAUCAACAGCAUUUUUUUUUUUUUUUUAAAGAAUCAAGCUAUUGAUUGAGCUGUUUUCUGAAAGUAAACCAUGAAAGCCCUCCUGGAGGCUGCCCAACCAUCUGUGAACUUGAACCUGAGAAAUGGACUUUUUUUUCAUCAGGGUGAUCUCCUUCAGCUGAAUCAUCAGAAGUGGUGAGAAGACCCCUACCCAACCAAACUGCUUCAGACAAGUUCAAUCCGUCUGUCAAGGAAUGGAGCUGUACAGUGUGGCCAGAUCACCAUUUGCUUGCACCACUACUGAGCUAUCUCUCUAGGACUGCCACCUACAUAUUAAGUGGCUGGAAGGAGCCUUUCUGUGAAAACGACAUUUCAGCUGGGACCCGAGGAUGAAUUGGAAGGAGUGUGUGAAGUGAGUCCUCCUUGCCAUUUAAAGUACAGGAAAAAGAAUGAAACAUUGCCAUCUGCAGCAGCUUGAAUGGAUCUAGAGAUUAUCAUACUAAGUGAAGGGUACCUGUCUUGGGAGAACCAAAGGAUUGGUUGCAGGAUUUUUUUUUUUAAAUGUUAUUUAUUUAUUUAUUGUUGGCUGUGCUGGGUCUUUGUUGCUGCAUAUGGAUUUUCUCUAGUUGCAGAGAGUGGGGGCAACUCUCAAGUUGCAGUGUGUGGGCCUCUCAUUGCCAUGGCUUCUCUCAUUCCAGAGCAUGGGCUCAAGGACGUGCAGGCUUCAGUAGUUGGAGACAUGGGCUUCAUUGCCCUGCAGCAUGUGGAAUCUUCCCAGACCAGGAAUCAAGCCUGUAUCUCCUGCAUUGGCAGGUGAAUUCUUAACCACUGGACCACCAGAGAAGUCCACAUUUAAUUCUUUAUUCACACUACUGACCAAUCCCUUUUCCUGACACCCUUUCCCUGUCUUUUCUUGUUUCAGGUAUUCCAGCCUCAACUGCUUUUUCCCUUAUUUAUCUGGAUAUUACUCCUGAGUCUUCACUUUCUCUUUCUGUCUCUUUACAUGGUUUUAUACUCUAGAUUAUAUCCUUGAGCCUCUUCUCUGCUUACUAUACCUAUUGAACAUUUGCAUGUGAAUAUUCACCUUUAUCUCAGUAUACUCCAAACUAAACUUGCCUUCUUCACUUCUGUAUCUCUUCCACCCACCUGUACCUCCUGCCUUGAUAAACAGAACUUCCCUAAACUCACAUUUAGAUCUAGAAGCUUCAUUAGAAUCUUUGUAAGAAUGAUCCACAGAUGGCUCUUAAGUUGCCAUAUUGGGGGACAUACAAUAUGUGGUUGUUUCUCUUUUUGUAACGAUAAGAUUUUUCAGUGGCUUAGUGUGUUAUAAUACAAAUUAUCCAUUAACAAACCCCUAUAACCUCUCAUGUAGUGGUUUUGACAGUCAGUGAGUUAUUGACAGUCAUUGCCUAGGUCCAGUAUUAGGGACUUACAUUUCUUACCAGCUUUACUGCAGCAACUUCUUAAGGUUUCCACGCCUUUAAUUUUUUUCCCUUAACUUGACCCUUCUAUAUGCACUACCACUAAAUAGAUUUUUGUGUACCCCAAAUCAUUUUAUAUGAUUUCCCUGCUUAAAAUUCUUUAGUGGAUUCUUAGUGAAUUCAGAAUACAAUCCAAAUUUUAGAGCAAAGAUAUACAAGAACAUUUAUCAUCUGGUCCCUGCUUUACCUAACUGUCACUUACUUUCUAUUUUGGCUCAGUUGGUAAAGAAUUCACCUGCAAAGGAGGAGACCCUGGUUCAAUUCCUGGGUUGGGAAGAUCUGCUGGAGAAGUGAUAGGCUACCCACUCCAGUACUCUUGGGCUUCCCUUUUGGCUCAGCUGGUGAAGAAUCCACUUGCAAUGCAGGAGACUUGGGUUCGGUCCUUGAGUUGGGAAGAUCGGCUGGAGAAGGGAAAGGCUACCCACUCCAGUAUUCUGGCCUAGUAUUCCAUGGACUGUGUAGUCCAUAGGGUUGCAAAGAGUCAGACAUGACUGAGUGACUUUCACUUUCACUUUAUAAGUGCUUGAACCUUUCUAAAAUAGAAUUCAUCUUGAGAUAGACAAAGUUAUAAGAUGUUGGUUUAAUACUUAUGGGAAAUGAGGGAUGAGCUGCUGAUACAGAGGCAGAUGGCAGGAUUAUUUUCAUAGCAAUAACACCUAAGCUUUUAAGAAACAGAACAUCUUAACAUUUCACAAUAUAUGUAAAUCAAAUCAUUACACUGUAUACCUUAAACUUACACAGUGCUGUCUGUCAAUUAUAUCUCAAUAAAACUGGCAGACUAUUUAUAAAUAAAGAAAAAUCCCCGUGUCUUUGACCACAUCAACAAUGGCAAUGUGGUAUCUCAAGGCCAUCCCCAGGAGUAUUGACUUUAGGGCAAGAAACCCAGGGAAGGAAUACAGGAUAAGGGGGCAGUGACUUUUGGAAGACAGCAAAGUUACAUUUUUUCCCCUAGCUUUAUUGAAGUAGAAAUUAACAAAAAUUCUGUAGAUAUUAAGGUGUGACGUGAUAGUUUCAUGUAUAUAUUAAUAUAUAUGCACUGUGAAGUAAUUGCUACAAUGAAGUUAACACAUUCAUCUCCUCACAUUGUUACCUUUUUGUGGCCUUUUUUUUUGGUAUGGUGAAAAAAGUUACAUUUUAAAAUGUAUUGUUUAUAAAUUUGCCAAACAAGUAUAUUGUUUGCCUUGGUUGUGUUGCCAUUUCAAGCUUCCUUCCCAUAAUAUUUUUCUUCAAAUUAUUAUGUAUAUGUAAAUAGCUAUGAUUUAAUUCAUUAACUCAUAUGAAAUUGAAUUAUAAUUUUAUAAUUUUUUAUUUUCAUCUAUAUGUUUUAUUUAGGUUCAUGUUUAAUAAAAAUCUACCAAGAAUAUAUAUUGUAACAUCUUAAUAAGCAUACUCAUCAUAAUAAAUUUACUGACAUCUUAAGUGAAACAUUUUGCUUUUUAAAGAAAAGAAAUAUCUAUACAACUUUUUAAAUAAAGCAAUAUGGAAAGGCUAAUAAGAACACAAAGCCCUUCCACCCAUACUUCCUGUUUGAUUUCCUCUUUUCAGUCAACCUUUUGGGGUUUCAGUUCCCCUUAUGAUUAUAAUUACUUGGAAUUCUAUUCCAUUUAUGUUUGAUUUAUUCAUAAUUCAUUAUGAUUAUUUAGCUAAAUGUAAUUCAUUAUAAAAUAACUUUUAAAGACUAAAUUAUACCAUAUUCAUUAUACUUUACAUUUUUAUAUUUACUUAUUCAAUUCAACUGAAUCAAAUUUUAUUGCUAGAGAGAAAUUUCCUAAAUGCAGCAGCAUCAAUUUAGCUGGUGGCAUUUACAUGAGUUUCCAUACAGAUAGUUGGUCUUUACUAAAUAUCUGCAACUGGUCCUUAAUCAUAUCUGAAUCAUAAAUGGAGUGAUGGAAUCAUGUCUGGAUCAGAUGGAUUCUAUCUCCAACAUUCACUGUGCCGGCCACAGUUGCAGGGGCUAUGACUAGCCCUGUCUCUUACAUCGAGCACAUUGAGGAUCCCCGACACUGAUUUGCAAUCUGCAUAAUGACUGGAGUCUGUGUCAGUGAGAGGGCUGAACUGAGGUGGACAUUCCCAGGGUGCCUGCCGCAGGAAUCACUCGUGUUCAUUUCUCAUGAUGCUGGGAGUUCUGUCCAAUGAAAUUGAAUCUCAUCAAUUCAAAUUUAUUCUUAAAAAAUAGCCUUGUUUAAUGGUGGUGACUUAAACUGUUAUUUUUAUAGUUCAUGCUAGGUUUUUUUUCAUUAGUAAAUGUCAAUUUCUUCUAGUACCUGAAUCAGCUGCCGUGGUGUAAUUUGCUGAUAUAAUUUCUUUCAAUGGAAUGGAAGGGUGAGCUAAUGGGACCAAAGGGUGUGCAGAAAUGGUGCUUAAUUAUAAAAUAAUGGAAAACAGUCUGCAUCAUGAAAUUACCUCAUAAACAGAGCGAUCACAACUGAGAUGAUUCAGUAAUUAAUGAUUACAUCAAAUAAAUUAACUCAUUUGUAUCUCAACUCUAUAUAAAUGAUGUGAGAAAGCAUAAUAAUACCUUAACUAUGUAAACAAUUAAUAAAAUAUGGAAGACAUUAUAAAUUCACAGAAUUGAAAGCCCACACAGCUAUAGAAUUAAUUACUUUUGUAUGCGUUAGGUGUUUUGGAAACUAAGAAUUAAUUUUCUGGCUUUGCCUCAAAUCAAGACCACCCUGUAGGAAAGUUUAAUUCCUCAGUGAGUACCUAUUUAUCAUUUAGCAGAAUGUUUGGCAACCAAGCCACCAAAACAACAUAUGCAAAUGGAUGUUUACUAAUGAUUGAAUGAAACCAUGCUCUAUUUCUGAAUGUUCUUAAUUUGAGUAAUGUACAAAUACAAGGACUUAUUUAUUCAAAACAGGCUACCUUAAUCAAGAUGCAGAAUUAAUCUUCAAAGAUACUGAAUUGUUUACAAUUUUGGCAAUUUUACAAUCUGGCAAACAUUUCUUUGAAAAUGUGAGAGAUGAGAACAAUAUGAGUUUAGUUAGAUCAAACCUAAAUGUAUGAUUAUUUAAACAUUUUUAAAUAAACAUUUGAAACUUUAUCUUAUAAAUAAUUGUCCUGGAGGAAAUACUACAUUACAAAACUUUAUCAUGUAGUUUAAAAUGUGAAUUUUCAGUAGUCUUAUGGUCUGGAAGGGGACUGAUAUUUGUGAAAGAAUGUUCUGACAGACUCAAACGAAAACCGCGUUUACAAUUUAGGGCCAAAGAAAUCAUUACAUCUAAGGCAACAACAUGUCUGAUUUGAUAGAAUCUGAAAUAGUUAAAAAGUUAUUGUGUGGUGUGGUUUGAGACCACAAAUUCUGUGUUAUUCAAAAUUCCAUGAAUUGCAUGUAUCCUUUUAUUUUCAAAAUGGGUGGCUUACUUGUAAGGAAAUUCUUCAGUUCUUUAUUAGAAAUAUAUCUAAAUUUUAUGCCCUGCUCAAGGGCAUGAAAUUCUGCAAACAUUUUCAUUUAUUAAUAGUUGUAAACACCUGGGCAUUUAUAGACAUUACAGAUAUUUUUACAUGUAUAAAUUUAGAAUGUUGGAUAUAAGACAAAGAUUUCUAAUUUUAAAAUCUAUUUGUAUUUCAUAAGACUUUAGUUUCCAAAAGAGUUUUGAUGUUUUGGUUUGUUUACCUUAAAUAAAAUAUGAUUUUUCUAUUUAAAAUAUCUGAAAAUAUACUCUCAAAUAUCAACUAGUUCUUGAAAUAGAUCUGGGUAGUUACCAGUGUAAAUGAACUCCAGUGUCAGGAUUCCAUAUCCUUUAA